AUGGGGACUCGGGGGCCCCGCGAGCGGGCCGGUCCCCGAAGCCGCCGCGCCGGCCGCCACCUGGCUCCCGGGCCCCCGGCAGGUCUGGGGGGACCUGGGCGACCGCGACCGCGUCCGGCCGCACAGGCUGCGGGGGGCGGGGGCGGGGGCGGGGGCGGCCCGGGGGCUGUCGGGGCCCGCGCGGUCCCCCGGGGUCUUUUGUCCCGCGCGCCGAGCCCGGGGCCGCCGGGGAGGCCGGGGUGGGGGUGGGGGUGGGGCCGCGGCGGCCCGGAGAGCGCCUGGGCGGGAAAAGCUUGCCUGGAAGCCCCGGCGGGGUGCAAGAAUUUAAUGUCACCCCGCGGAGCGAGGUGGAGGCUCGGGGCGCUCCGCAGACAAAGGUGGCGCGGGGACCCGCAUCUGGGGCCGCUCGGGCCGGCGCCGUCGCCGUCGCCCCGGCUCCCGCGGUCCGCCUUCCCCUCCAGCUCCCCCGCCCCCGAGUUGAGCAACUCGGCCGGCCGGUGCGGCGGCCCGGGAGCCCCGCGGACGCCCAGGCUGCAGCGCCCCGCCGCCCGGCACGGGGUGGGUGGCCGCCGCGGGGCCGCCCCGCCGCGCAGUCCGCGUCCCCGGCCGCGGAGGCCCGUGCGCCAGGCAGCGGGGAGCGCGGCACCCGCCGUGUCACAGCCCAGGGUCUGCUCUCCCGCCCGCUGCGCCCCUGCGAGCCCCGCCGGUCCCCGGAGAUGCCACGGGAGGGCGGUGCGCGCGGCGCGGAGAGCCUCCCGCGGGCGCACGCCACUGCCCCACGGCCGCCGGCCUCGGCCUCCGGGCCCCUUCCCAUCUUUGUGUCCCCCCCCCCCCCGUCUCCAUCUUCGCCGCCCCCUGCCCCGCGCCCGGCCUCGGCUCGGUGUCCUCGCCCCCGGCCCCCUCCCCACGGCGGACGGAUGCACGGCCAGUGCGAGCCCCCAGCCUCCGGGCCCGCGGGCCGGCGGGGGCGGAGCGACCCGCCCGGGGCUCCCCGCGACCGGCCCCCCGCAGGCGUGCGGAGGCCCGGCCCGGCCCAGAGGUCCAGGAACGCGGCGCGCGGGCGGCUGCGGGCGCCCCCUGACGGCCACGCGGGCUCGGCGGACGCCGGACCCUCCCCCGCCGCGGGCCCCCAGCGAGCCGCCCCCGCGCCGCGGUUCAGGGUGA
rnacentral:lncRNA from 1 species